AUGAUCUCACAGGCUCCACUCAUCUGGCUGUUAGUGCUCUGGAUCCAGGAUGCCAGUGGGCAGAUUGUGAUGACUCAGACUCCAGAAUCCCUGGCAGUGUCUCCAGGAGACAGAAUCACCAUCAACUGCAAAGCCAGUUCAAGCCUUACUUACCAAGGCAAUAAGUACUUAGCCUGGUACCAGCAGAAAAUGGGACAAGCUCCUAAGCCCCUUAUCUAUCUUGCUUCCACCCGUGCCUCUGGGAUCCCAGACCGGUUCAGUGGCAGUGGCUCUGGGACCGAUUUCACUCUCACAAUCAGCAGGGUUGAAGCUGAAGAUGCUGGAGAUUAUUAUUGUUACCAAAGCACGAAAGCACCUCACACACUGAUACAGACCAAUACACAAACGUCCCCAUGCUGUUCCUUUCAGUGUAACAGCUGCUUCCUAUACUUAACUGCUACACUAGAAUUCGGACAGCAUUUUGAUCAGUCUUUUAACACCAGGCUGAGUCCUCUGCUCCCACUUCUGACCCUUCUGUAA